rnacentral:tRNA from 1 species
GGGGAUGUGGCUCAGUUGGUAGAGUGCUCACCUGGCAUGCGUGAGGCCCUGGGCUCCAUCCCCA